rnacentral:rRNA from 1 species
UACGUAGGGGGCAAGCGUUGUCCGGAUUUAUUGGGCGUAAAGAGCGUGUAGGCGGCCAGGGAGGUCCGUUGUGAAAACUCGAGGCUCAACCUCGAGACGCCGAUGGAAACCCCCUGGCUAGAGUCCGGAAGAGGAGAGUGGAAUUCCUGGUGUAGCGGUGAAAUGCGUAGAGAUCAGGAAGAACACCGGUGGCGAAAGCGCUCUGCUAGGCCGCAACUGACACUGAGGGACGAAAGCUAGGGGAGCGAAUGGG